CGAACGGGUGAGUAACACGUGGGCAACCUGCCCAAAAGAGGGGGAUAANACUUGGAAACAGGUGCUAAUACCGCAUAACCAUAGUUACCGCAUGGUAACUAUGUAAAAGGUGGCUAUGCUACCGCUUUUGGAUGGGCCCGCGACGCAUUAGCUAGUUGGUGGGGUAAAGGCUUACCAAGGCAAUGAUGCGUAGCCGAACUGAGAGGUUGAUCGGCCACAUUGGGACUGAGACACGGCCCAAACUCCUACGGAAGGCAGCAG
rnacentral:rRNA from 1 species